CUCUUCCUCCCGAAGAGUGUCCACGGACGCUCAGUGCGUCCUCACGCACUUUCCUGCUCCAAAAAUUUGGCUAAAGUUUUGUUGGAAAGUAGCAUCCAGAUGUGGAAGAUUUUCAAAAGUCGUGCGUAAAUUUAGGAACUAGAUCCAGAAAAAACGAUUACUCAGGGUGGUCAAAUGAAGGUGAAGUGCUGUAGAUAUGGUGUCGGUGAAUUUGCCGUCAAAAUGAACCACUUAAAGUCAAACGCAGAGAUGGUGACACUUCAGCGUACGUCCCCCAGGAACUAAGACAUUCUCCUGCGUCGCUGCUGUCUUAGUUUGUGCUGCUGUAACAGAAAACCCUAGACUCAGCGGUUUAGAACCAACGGAAAUUUAUUUCUCAGAGUUCUGGAGGCCGGAAGCCCGAGGUCAGAGUGCCAGCAGGAGUCAGCCAGUCCCCUCGUCUGUGUGAUGUACGUACGGCCAGCUUAUUUACUCGGGAGGACAGAGGGAAAAAAAUAACAGGAAACCAACCCACAUCAAACAAUGAAGAUGAAUAUCAAUAUUUGUUCCUUUCCGGAUAAGAGGAGUUAUGCACAGUAUUACGUCAUCAUAGCAGCACUUGAAAGAAUCGAAGUUGCUUUGAGCUUGAAGAAUUUCCAGUACAGCAAUUUGGCUGUUGUCAUCUAAAUGAAGUAAAGUUAAAAUAUAGCCUUUUAACAGAAGUAAGUAGAUAUUAUUCGAAGUAUCCAUGGUCGCCAUCUGGAAGCUGUGCUUGUUAUCAAACUUGAGAUCCAGGAACCUGGUCCGAUGCUGCCAGCAGAUGUUGCCAAAUUGCCGUCUAUACAGGAUGAACCACCUUACACUCCUACUGGUAAAAAUACCCUUUGGUUGUUUUCAGUUGUGAAAAUAAAUGAAGACCACCCAGACGAGGACACACAAAGGCUCUUUAUUCAAAGCUGGCUACAGCGAGGGUGUCAGUGCCGUCACAGGCUGCGCAGAGACUCGAAGGCGGCAGAGAUGGGACAGGCGUCAGGCACCGCCUGCUAGGAGGGCGCUGGCUGGGAAGCUGGAGGUGGCAGUGGUUCAUGCUUUCUGAUUGCUCUGUAGCAUCCUGUUGAAUGACUAUGCCACAAAACAGGGAAGGGCUGGAGUCUGCCCCACAUUGCUAACGCCAUUUCCUCACCUGUUGUGCAUCCUUCAGCCUCCUCCCCUAUCACAAGCAAAGAGAAUUCGCUGGCAUCAAUGCAACCAUGUUAGAAUAAAAGC
rnacentral:lncRNA from 1 species